GCAAUGCCGCGUGUGGGAAGAAGGCCUUCGGGUUGUAAACCACUUUUGUACGGAACGAAACGGUCUGCUUUAAUACAGUGGGCUAAUGACGGUACCGUAAGAAUAAGCACCGGCUAACUACGUGCCAGCAGCCGCGGUAAUACGUAGGGUGCGAGCGUUAAUCGGAAUUACUGGGCGUAAAGCGUGCGCAGGCGGUUAUAUAAGACAGUUGUGAAAUCCCCGGGCUCAACCUGGGAAUUGCAUCUGUGACUGUAUAGCUAGAGUACGGUAGAGGGGGAUGGAAUUCCGCGUGUAGCAGUGAAAUGCGUAGAUAUGCGGAGGAACACCGAUGGCGAAGGCAAUCCCCUGGACCUGUACUGACGCUCAUGCACGAAAGCGUGGGGAGCAAACAGGAUUAAAUACCCUGGUAGUCCACGCCCUAGACGAUGUCAACUGGUUGUUGGGUGCAUUAGUACUCACUAACGAAGCUAA
rnacentral:rRNA from 1 species